rnacentral:rRNA from 1 species
AUUGAACGCUGGCGGCAUGCUUUACACAUGCAAGUCGAACGGUAACAGGCCGCAAGGUGCUGACGAGUGGCGAACGGGUGAGUAAUGCAUCGGAACGUGCCCAGUCGUGGGGGAUAACUACUCGAAAGAUUAGCUAAUACCGCAUACGAUCUAUGGAUGAAAGCGGGGGACCGUAAGGCCUCGCGCGAUUGGAGCGGCCGAUGUCAGAUUAGGUAGUUGGUGGGGUAAAGGCUCACCAAGCCAACGAUCUGUAGCUGGUCUGAGAGGACGACCAGCCACACUGGGACUGAGACACGGCCCAGACUCCUACGGGAGGCAGCAGUGGGGAAUUUUGGACAAUGGGCGCAAGCCUGAUCCAGCAAUGCCGCGUGCAGGAAGAAGGCCUUCGGGUUGUAAACUGCUUUUGUACGGAACGAAACGGCUCUGGUUAAUACCCGGGGCUAAUGACGGUACCGUAAGAAUAAGCACCGGCUAACUACGUG